UACAUCACAUACUUUUAAAACCAAGAAUAAGGCUGGGAUAGGAAAGAUUAGAUGAGAAGGAAAUUGCAGUUGCAAGUGACAGGCAGAGGAAGUAAGUAAGGAGGAAGACCCUGGUGUGAGGAACAAGGAUACAGGAGGUCAGAGAUGUGUGGUCCAGAUUUCCCUGAACUUCAGUCCAGAAGGAAAAGAGCUAGAAGACCCAGAGAAGUUUCAUGAAGAGAUGGAGACCUCCUAAAGCAGAAGAAACAAUUGCCUGGCUUUUCAGGGAACAAACCAAGAAGACAUAAAGACUCACCUGGGAAAUAUGACGUCCACAAAGAUGCUCUCUUGGAAGUGACAUAAAUGUGAUAGUGUGCUGUUAUUGGGCAAACAGACUGACCAAUUAGCACUUGCACUCCUUCCCUGGCUCUCAAGUGUAUCAGAGAAAUCAAGAAACUCCUCUUGAUUUUGUCCUCUGCUGGGCCCAGAGUAGGGUCAGAAGAGAUAGUUAUUCAGAGGACUGGAAGUCUUGCCACAGGACAGCCAUAGUUAAUGAGGAUACCUAUAUCCUGUAUCUCCUACAUACAUCCAAGAGACAUAGGACUCUAGGACUUAUCCAAGAUGUGGACUACACAGAUGACAUGGCAGAGAUUCAAGGGACUUGUAAUGUCAGCAAGAGCCAAGUUUUGGGGAAUGCAGAAUUGGAAAAUGGAAACUACUGCGGAACCUGAGAGGCAAGAGGAAGGGAAAGACCUAGCAAGAGAGAAAACUGAAGUGGAAAUUGGAAAGUUCAACUAAGGUUACAUUAAAUGUUAACUUCUACCAGAAUUGAGGCUGCAAUGUUCACCAGCAGAACAGGUAAGCUGCAUUUUAUGAGUUCACAUUUAUUGGCCUCUACCAUGUACAGACAUUAGAAUCUGAAA
rnacentral:lncRNA from 1 species